rnacentral:rRNA from 1 species
ACGACUGCUGCUAAGACUGGAUAGGAAGAUAAAAGGCAUCUUGUAUCUUUUAAAAGACCUAGUUAAUAGGUAUGCUUUAGGAGGGGCUUGCGCCAUAUUAGUUAGUUGGUAGGGUAAUGGCCUACCAAGACGAUGAUGUGUAGCUGGACUGAGAGGUUGAACAGCCACAUUGGGACUGAGACACGGCCCAAACUCCUACGGGAGGCAGCAGUAGGGAAUUUUCGGCAAUGGAGGAAACUCUGACCGAGCAACGCCGCGUGAAUGACGAAGUACUUCGGUAUGUAAAGUUCUUUUAUCGAGGAAGAAAAGCAAAUGGCGAACCAUUUGUUUGCCGGUACUUGAUGAAUAAGCCCCGGCUAAUUAUGUGCCAGCAGCCGCGGUAAGACAUAAGGGGCAAGUGUUAUCCGGAAUUAUUGGGCGUAAAGGGUGCGUAGGCGGUCUAGUAAGUCAGUGGUGUAAUGGCAACGCUUAACGUUGUCCGGCUAUUGAAACUGCUAAACUUGAGUUAGAUAGAGGCGAGUGGAAUUCCAUGUGUAGCGGUAAAAUGCGUAAAUAUAUGGAGGAACACCAGAGGCGUAGGCGGCUCGCUGGGUCUUAACUGACGCUGAGGCACGAAAGCGUGGGGAGCAAACAGGAUUAGAUACCCUGGUAGUCCACGCCGUAAACGAUGAGUACUAAGUGUCGGGUUAAACCGGUACUGAAGUUAACACAUUAAGUACUCCGCCUGAGUAGUACGUACGCAAGUAUGAAACUUAAAGGAAUUGACGGGACUCCGCACAAGCGGUGGAUCAUGUUGUUUAAUUCGAAGAUACCCGAAAAACCUUACCAGGUCUUGACAUGUUUUUGCAAAAUGAUAGUAAUAUCGUGGAGGUUACCAGAAACACAGGUGGUGCAUGGUUGUCGUCAGCUCGUGUCGUGAGAUGUUAGGUUAAGUCCUAAAACGAGCGAAACCCUUAUCGUUAGUUGCCAGCACGUUAUGGUGGGGACUUUAACGAGACUGCCAAUGAUAAAUUGGAGGAAGGUGAGGAUCACGUCAAAUCAGCAUGCCCCUUAUGACCUGGGCUACAAACGUGAUACAAUGGCUGUUACAAAGGGUAGCUGAAACGCAAGUUCUUGGCCAAUCCCCAAAAACAGUCCCAGUCCGGAUUGAAGUCUGCAACUCGACUUCAUGAAGUUGGAAUCGCUAGUAAUCGCGAAUCAGCAUGUCGCGGUGAAUACGUUCACGGGGUUUGUACACACCGCCCGUCA